UACGUAGGGUGCUAGCGUUAAUCGGAAUUACUGGGCGUAAAGCGUGCGCAGGCGGUUCGUUGUGUCUGGUGUGAAAGCCCUGGGCUUAACCUGGGAAUGGCAUUGGAAACUGGCGAGCUGGAGUGUGGCAGAGGGGGGUGGAAUUCCGCGUGUAGCAGUGAAAUGCGUAGAGAUGCGGAGGAACACCGAUGGCGAAGGCAGCCCCCUGGGCCAACACUGACGCUCAGGCACGAAAGCGUGGGGAGCAAACAGG
rnacentral:rRNA from 1 species